AGCAGGAGCUUGCGGCGGUGGCGAGUGGCGAACGGGUGAGUAAUAUAUCGGAACGUACCCAAGAGUGGGGGAUAACGUAGCGAAAGUUACGCUAAUACCGCAUACGACCCACGGGUGAAAGCAGGGGACCUUCAGGCCUGGCGCUAAUAGAUGAGCCUAUGUUGGAUUAGCUAGUUGGUAGGGUAAAGGCCUACCAAGGCGACGAUCCAUAGCUGGUCUGAGAGGAUGAUCAGCCACACUGGAACUGAGACACGGCCCAGACUCCUACGGGAGGCAGCAGUGGGGAAUUUUGGACAAUGGGCGAAACCCUGAUCCAGCAAUACCGCGUGUGUGAAGAAGGCCUGAGGGUUGUAAAGCACUUUCAAUAGGAAGGAAUACCUGCCGGUUAAUACCCGGUAGACUUGACAUUACCUAUACAAGAAGCACCGGCUAACUCCGUGCCAGCAGCCGCGGUAAUACGUAGGGUGCAAGCGUUAAUCGGAAUUACUGGGCGUAAAGCGUGCGCAGGCGGUUAUUUAAGACAGAUGUGAAAGCCCCGGGCUUAACCUGGGAACUGCGUUUGAUACUGCAAGGCUAGAGUUGAGUAGA
rnacentral:rRNA from 1 species